UACGGGGGGGGCAAGCGUUGUUCGGAAUUACUGGGCGUAAAGGGCUCGUAGGCGGCCAACUAAGUCAGACGUGAAAUCCCUCGGCUUAACCGGGGAACUGCGUCUGAUACUGGAUGGCUUGAGUGUGGGAGAGGGAUGCGGAAUUCCAGAUGUAGCGGUGAAAUGCGUAGAUAUCUGGAGGAACACCGGUGGCGAAGGCGGCAUCCUGGACCAUUACUGACGCUGAGUGAGCGAAAGCCAGGGGAGCAAACGGG
rnacentral:rRNA from 1 species